rnacentral:rRNA from 1 species
AGCGAACGCUGGCGGCAGGCCUAACACAUGCAAGUCGAACGAACUCUUCGGACUUAGUCGCGGACGGGUGAGUAACACGUGGGAACGUGCCUUUUGGUUCGCAAUAACUCAGGGAAACUUGUGCUAAUACCGAAUGUGCCAUCGGUGGCUAAGAUUUAUCGCCAUUAGAGCGGCCCGAGUCUUUUUAGCAAGUGGGUGAGGUAACGGCUCACAGAGGCGCCGCUCAGUAGCUGGGUAGGGAGGAUGGCCAAGCACACUGGGAGUGAGACACGGUCCAGACUCCUAGGGGAGGCAGCAGUGGGGAAUCUUGCGCAAUGGGCGAAAGCAUGACGCAGCCAGGCCGCGUGAAUGAUGAAGGUGUUAGGAUUGUAAAAUUCUUUCACCGGGGACGAUAGUGACGGUACCCGGAGAAGAAGCCCCGGCUAACUUCGUG